UGGUGAGGUAAUGGCUCACCAAGACCGCGAUGGGUAGCCGGCCUGAGAGGGUGAACGGCCACACUGGAACUGAGACACGGUCCAGACUCCUACGGGAGGCAGCAGUGGGGAAUCUUGCACAAUGGGCGAAAGCCUGAUGCAGCGACGCCGCGUGAAUGAUGAAGGCCUUCGGGUCGUAAAAUUCUGUCCUAAGGGAAGAUAAUGACGGUACCUUAGGAGGAAGCACCGGCUAACUACGUGCCAGCAGCCGCGGUAAUACGUAGGGUGCAAGCGUUGUCCGGAAUUACUGGGCGUAAAGGGUUCGCAGGCGGCCUUUUAAGUCAGGCGUUAAAGAUCAUGGCUCAACCAUGGUAUGCGCUUGAAACUGAAAGGCUUGAGUCAAGGAGAGGAAAGUGGAAUUCCUAGUGUAGCGGUGAAAUGCGUAGAUAUUAGGAGGAAUACCAGUGGCGAAGGCGACUUUCUGGACUUGUACUGACGCUGAGGAACGAAAGCAUGGGUAGCAAACAGGAUUAGAUACCCUGGUAGUCCAUGCCGUAAACGAUGAGUGCUAGGUGUCGGGUGUCAAAGCUCGGUGCCGCAGUUAA
rnacentral:rRNA from 1 species